CUGUGGCUAUUAGCUGCACUUUUGGUAGAUUAUCAGCUUAGUUGUUAUCAGCUUAGUUGUUUUCCCUAGCUGGAUUCUUGGCUUUUGCCUUUUUUUUUCUUCUUCUUUUUCGUUCUUUUUGAGCUUUGUUUUGAAACACUGAAAUGUAUGAAAGAGUGUAUAAUUUGAGACAGUCUAAUGCUGAGAUGAUUCGUUUUCUGCAUUGAAGAAAAAAUUGUUAUGGCUAAUUGUGGAGAGUUUUAUUCUCUAUUGCAGAAAGUAAGGAUAUAUCAGCUUAGCCUUUGUACUUUUGAGGGGUUUUUAGCUCGAACCUUUCUACAAGUUUCCUAUUCAAUGAGACCUAAUAGGCUAAUACCAUUCUCAAACUUCUCUCUCCAUUCACUAACCAGCCAUGACCAAAUAAAGCCCCAAAAAGAAAAAAAAAAAUUGCUCAUCCAAAGUAAAUUAAAGCGACAACAACGCACCCACUUUCACACACAUUCCGUCGAAUACAUUAUACGCAACAAUAAGUUUAAUUAUUUUAACUGCAAAUUAUUUAUAAGGCUUACUAAUACAAACUUAAUCCAAACAAUUCGCGUGAAAUCAAUUGUAAGAUAUUGUGAAAUUAAAUUUAAUUUCAAAAGAGAACAGCCGCGAUCGCAAUAUUUGGGGUAUUGCAGCCGCGAUGGCGGCUGUUAUAAAAUUUGGGGUGUUACAGCCGCGAUCGCGGCUGUUAUAACCCUUUUCCCGCCGAUCGGCAGCUAAUCAGCGGCGGUUCUCGCUUGGGGCCUGAUGGGCGGUUACUUCUGGUUCGAAUGGUGGUUGUUGCGGCUGGAAAGGUGACCAAAAAUAAAGACCGGCAGCCUUGAACGGUGGCCGACUCGGGGCUGACGACACAAAUUUUUGGUUACAGUCAUAGAGAGAUAAAGAUGAGUUUUGAAUUUUCAAAUUGAGUCGUUGAAAUUACAGUGCAAAUCAGAAAAUGUUUUUCUUUAAUGGCAUUCCUUGUAACUUUUUGAAUCCAAAGCCCAAAUAAUGAAUCUAUUUAAUAAUUUUUAACCACCCAAGCAAAUGCACAUUUUGAUUAUUAAAAUCCUAAUAGUUUUUUUAAUAUUUUAUUGUAGUUGCUUUUUUGUUUCCCACAUUUUCUUUUGUAGAGAUGGCAUAUCAACAGCUUGUCAAAAAGGCGCACAAUAACGUUGGGUAGAAUAAUUUGUUCCUAAUAAAGGUAAUCUCUUAUUUUAUUAAGUCAACAUCAAUUAAUUAUUAAAUUUCUUAAAUAUUUAGGGAGGUAAAUCGAUAUUUUUGUAUCAUCGGGCAACAUUUUAAAAAUUGUCACUCUAGUUAGGGGUUUAUUUGAAUCUUACCCUUGUAAAGUAUAAAAAUAAUACAUAUAAUAUUCUCAAAUCUAGUCAUUAUAGUUAGAAAGAUACGAGCGAUAUUAAUAAUAAAAAUUAAAAUAAUUUUUAAGAAAUGGUAGCAUUAAUUUAGAAUCAAGUUAAUUAGAUGUAGAUCCAUUUUGUUAAUAAUAAAAAGAUCAUAAAAGUAUUAGGAAAUUAAUCAAAACAGAAGUCAUAAAAUAUCGGGAUACAAUUAAUAACUAGAACAAAGCUUUGGCAUCAUGUUAGAAACGGUUUAACGUUGUUAGAAACAUUGGGUUUAUGACAAUGAAGGCUUCCUUUUUUUAUUUUUCAUGUUUCUUUCUCUUCUAAAGAAUCAAGAUUUUGAAGAUAUUAAUACUCAAGAUUUUGGCAUGGGUGUGAGAUAUGAAGUCGUUAGAACUCGAUAUUUUAGUACAAUAAUGUUUAUUUUCAUCUUCAAUGCUCCAACAAUCACUUAACAACAAUUUUUUUUUUUUAAAUUUUGAAUAAAGUCAACAGCCUUUGACCUCAAGAUUUUUUGCCACAGCAGUGCUCACUUCGUACACCCUAAUUGUCAUUUUAUUAUUGGACAGCUAUCCAAACUUACCCUUCACCUUUUUCAUCUUUCUUUCUUUUUUUUUUCUCCCACACAAAUCAAACAUUUAUGAUAAUUUAUUUCACAACUUAUUGUCUCGCUAUCUACAUUUACUAAACAGUUUAUGAAAUUAUUUGCAAAGUUGAUAAUUUAAAUUAUAAUAUAUUGUAUUAAGUUAAAUUAAAAUUUAAUACAAAACCAUGUCCGGUGCUAUAUUGAACGAGAUUAUUAAAUUUAAAUUUUAGUAUUACAAAUUAUUAGUAAUAUUAUGUUAAUAUUAAUUAUAUUUACAUUAAUAUUUAGUUUAAUUAUCAAUUGAAAUUUUGAUUUCAAAAUAAAAUAUUUAGUUUAAUAUUUACAUUAAUAUUAAUUAUAUUUUACUUGGACGGCAAUAAUUUUGUAAGAAAAUAAAGUUAAAAGAAAGUUAAUACGCAUUGUAGUCGUUUUGCCAACUAGGAAUUCUAGAACACAAUAUUUUCCCGCCUUUCUUGGAUUUGUCCGUUUAGGAAACCUAGUGGUAGCUUGCAAUUUAAGCAAGAUGGACUAUAAAUAUAACACAACAUUACUCACUGACGUACAUACCAUCUACUUUUGUUCUCCUUCUGUAUCUCGGCUUCUCUGUUUUUUGUUAUCGGUAAUUCACCAACAAAUUUUCUUAGUCAAUCAACUCACCGUUCAAUUAAGUCUUUUCUUCUCAAACAAAAUGCAAGAACACAUACCCUUUCUUCCCCAUGGCUUCCAGUUCAUACCAUCAGAUGAAGAACUUGUCGAACAUUAUCUUAAGAAGAAGGUUUCGGGAAUACCCAUUCCUCUCGCUGAGUAUUUCAUCAGGGACUGUAAUCUUUAUGAGACAAAACCCUCUGAAAUUUAGGAUUCAUAUGGAGGACCCUUUUUGAAUGCUGAUGAGAAUAUGUAUUUCUUCACCCAAUUGAAUAAAAAGUCUUCUAAGGGUUCCAGAAUUGACCGCAAAGUCAGUUCUUCCGGUGGUGCUUGGCAAGGGGAGGAUGCCGGUAAAGACAUUGUAAGCGGCCAAUCUAAAAUCAAAAUCGGCUCCAAGAAGCAGUUUCGUUAUGAAAAGAAAGGUUCUGAGGAUCAUGGGGCUUGGAUCAUGCAGGAAUACACUCUAGAUUUGCCCAAGAAUCAAGCUACCAAUUAUGUGCUUUGUAGGCUCCGAAAGAACCAACCAACUGGCCAAGAUAAGAAGUACGGUUCUGCAAAGAAAAGAAAGUUAAAUGAUAUUCAACACAACAGCAAUCAAUCUGAACAAGUGACAGAUACUGAGGUGGAGAGGGUUUUGACCCACCAAGAAAAUUAGCAACAGAACUAUGUGCACUAUCAAGAAGUAAGUUGCAGUAGUACUGGCAUGAUGAAUGAGCAGAGCUUAUCUGGUGGAAUGGGCUUUGCAAGCAGUGUUAUUGAACAUUCUAGUGUGACUGAUCAAAUGCAACAACAUCAAUCUAAACAAGUGACAAAUACUGAGGUGGAGAGGGUUUUGACCCACCAACAAAAUCAGCAACAGAACUAUGUGCACUAUCAAGAAGUAAGUUGCAGCAGUACUGACAUGAUAAGUGAGCAGAGCUUGUCUGGUGGAAUGGGCUUUGCAAGCAGUGUUGCUGAACAUUCUUGUGUGACUGAUCAACUGCAUAAACAUCAGUGUCAACAGAUACUAGUUUAGAAUUCAGAAUGUCAUUACGAACCAUCUAUGGAGAUAAUGAUGAGUCAUUUUGAUAAGAUGUUAUCUCACCAGCAACAUGACUCCGGAAACGACUUGCUUCAAAGUGGAGAAAUUGGUGGAGAAACCUUGGCCAUUUCAUCUGAUUAUGAAAGCAGCAUUGAUUAUGAGUGGGAAUCAAUUCAUCAGCUGCUUCAGUCUGACUUGGUGCUGGACUUAGAAGAUAUCUUGUCGUAACUGAAUUAUGACAGAAAUUUGUGUUUUAUUAACUGUAAUGAUCCUUCACGAUGUAAUUUGACCCUUUUGUCAUUUAUAAAUUGUAUAGCUUUAUUCAUUUAUUUUGUUAACAUGCAUUGUAUCAUUUAUAUUGUUGAUCUGCAGGUAUCCCAUCCUUGUACUUUUGCGGCAUCAUGCUAAAUAACCACCAUUCAAUGUCAAUAUGAUGCUGUCUAUUGAAACUGGUGAAUAAAAACUGGGAAAAUUGCUUCAUUGCAUGUUCUGCUCGUAGUUUAAUUUUCGCAACACUUUUAGGUAGGAACGCCAUCUAUCGACUAAGCUCAGUAUUUUGUACCCUACAAAGACUUUUUUUGCAAGCUAGACACACCUCACAUGCUGGAAAUUUAGAAAUAGAAUGACGGAAUUGCUUGACUAGCAAACUGACAUCAAUGUCAAGUAAGUAUCUCAUAGUUUAUCAUCUUACUAUAGAGAAGAAUUAGGGGGAAAAAAAUGAAUUCACUUGCAGGUAAUCGAAUUAUUGCUUGGCCAUGCGGCAGAUGUUCCAAAGGGUUUGGAAGUAAAUGCCAUAAACAAGAGCGGACACACUGCACUUGACCUGCUGCUGAUUUUCCCAAGUGAAGCUGGAGAUUGAGAAAUUGUUUUUAGUUAAUUGUUAGAAAAAAAUAAGCGUAGCCAAUUUGAAAAAAACUCAAAAAUGUUUGAGUUAAUUAUAUAAAUUUCCCGUUAGACUACAUGUAUUUUAAUAAUUUGUAGCAAUUCAUUUGUCACCAAAGAAACACAUUUAAUCAACUGGUGAGUCUUGUUCUUUUCUUUUUUUAUAUAUUUUAUUUUAGUGAUCCUUGUUCUUUUUUAAUUACCUUCACUCACAGUCAAGUGGCGCAAAUGAUAAAACACAGAGCUUUACUCUUGUUUCAAUUGCAACUGGGAUCAUGCAACUGGAAGCCAUUUUCUUCUGAUCAUUUUCUUAAAUUCAAUAGUUUUUCUAUACAACACGGGUUGAUAGUGAUACGAAUGGAUGCUGAAAGAAGGAGAUUACCUCGCCACUCAAGAAGCUCGCUAAACAUGAGAAGAAAUGUUUUUGUCAUCGGCUAGAUACAUACAGUUAAUAUGAGAAGAAAAUUUAACAACGUAGCUAGACUCGUUUGCUUCUGUGGUAUAUACUAUGGCCCCUUUUUUUUGGGUUUAUCUUUUUAUAUCACAGGUUUGUGAGUAGGUAAGUAAAAAUGGGAAACGCAGACUUGCUUUUUCGUUCCUUGUGUCGGAGGCUGUGUCAGUUGUACUGGAUCAUGUAUUUGGAAAUAGCAAAUGGGCUCCUCUCGCUGCAUUUCUCCUGUCCGCAUUUGGUUUUGCCAUAAACAUCUAUGCAUGUUUCUUGGAAAGAAGAAGAAGAAGCAACGUCAGAGCAAUCAGAUCACAAUCUGAUCGGCAGCUUGAGAUAGUAGAUAUCGUGUUCUCUGCACUUCAGUUUAUUGCUAUAUCGAUCCAUUUUAUUCUGAUGAUAUCAGAUGUGAAGUCCAAUUAUAAUGCAUCUGUUGUUUUGCCGUUGGCCUUUGCUGUAACUGACAGUCGUCUUCGUUUUUAGAACCGGAGAAAAUGUUGAGAAUACUUCACUUGAAAAAGGGUUGGAGAAAAGGACAGCUUCUUUUGGUUCCAAUGUUGUUGGAGCUGCUUCUGUGAGAAUCAGGCAGCUGUCUCAAGAGCUUAAGCGGGAGGCUUCAUUUUCGAAGAGGCCUAAUCCGCCUGCUCUGUUUGAUAGCACCAAGUCUGCUGCAGCUCAUGCCUUGGAAGGGUCUCAAGUUUGAAUCUUCAGUCACGUGCCUGUCAGAAAUUUCUUGUAAUCUGCCUAUGUAUGUCUUCACACAGCCCUUUUGGAAGCUUGAAAACAGACAUUGCUUAAGUUGGAAUAGCCUCCACAACUGCCUUCAACCGAAUCUCCUUGCCUCCCAGCGAAAAGAGCUGUGAUUGCCAACCUUUAAUUUUAUUAAGCACCCUGGUUUUGACCAUUGAGAAAAAUUGAUGCUUUCUCCUCCCCACCAUAGAUGGAAGACUAAGAUAUUUCUCAUGGUGAGAAGCUACAUUCAAUUGAAAAAAUAGCCUUGAUAUCCUCUUUGAUGCGAUUCUGUACACUGGGGCUAAAAAACAUGGCGGAUUAGUCAAGCUUAAAUAACUGUCCUGAAGCUUUCGUGUACUUGUCAAGUAUUGCCUUUAAAACAUGCAUUCCUCAGGAGAAGCUCGAUAUUAGACUAUCAUCUCCAAAAAAUAAAUGAGUAAUAGUUACAUGAUUGUAGUUGAAACCCACUCCAUGAAUUAAUCUUCUUUCUGCAGCUUCAUGUAGUAAACUAGACAAAAUAUCAGCAUAAAUAAUAAAUAAAAAAUAAAUAAGGGGAGAGGGGGCAUCCUUGUCGUAAGCCUCUCUGUAGAUGAAUAAUGCCUUUGACCGAACCAUUAAUUAGAAGUGAGAAAGACUAUGAAGAAAUGCACCGCAUGAUCAAGGCUACCCAUUCACAAGAGAAACCAGAGCUUUUGCCAGAAAAGACUAUUCAACUCUAUCAUAACUUUUGCAAGAAAAGACCAUUCAACUCUACUAUAGGCCUUGUUGACACAAUUGAAUGAAUUGAUAUGAUUGUACUUCUAGAGGUAUUUGGCUGGAACCUUUUUUCAAGUUUUCCGUUCAAUGAAACAGAUUUAACCAAAUAGCACAUCAUUAGCAUUUUUUUAUAUGCUCGUAUGGAGAGAAUGAUUUUAGAUUUUUUUUUUUUUUUUAAUAUUACAUACACUUGAUAUAUGUAUGAUACGUGUGUGUAUUCAGUUUGGUAAUGGAGCUCCACAGUUGUAAAGAACAUAAAGUGGUUUUGUGUUUGAUUAAAAAAAUAUUAUUACUCUCGUUAGGGUUGUGAAUUGGUUAUUUUUAAAUUGUUCUUUUUAUUUUUAAAAGUUUCAAUUUACUCUAUUUUUAUUGAAAAGACUAAAGAAAGGUUCAUCAAUCCAAGAACAUAUCUAAUCAACUCGUUAGUCUUUAGUCUUUUCUUCAUUGAUUCUUGGUUGGUCUUUUUCAAUUGCGUUUACUCCCAAUCAACUGGGCACAAAGGACAAAACACAGAACUUUCCUUGAACGUAACACACAACUUCACUCUUGUUUCAAUUGCAGCUGGGAUCAUGCAACUGGAAGCCAUUUUCCUCUGAUAAUUUUUUAAAUUCAAUAUUUUUGCUACACAACAAGGGCUGAUAGUGAUACGAAUGGACGUUGAAAGAAGGAGAUUACCUCGCCACGUAAGAAGCCCGGUAAAUAAUUUUCAUUCUCAACGGUGUCUAAAUGUCGGACACCUAUAAUUUUUUUGUUGAUGGUGUUAUUAAUUACUUGAGUUGUACUGCAUUUUGUCAUCGGCUAAAUAGGUACAGUUAAUACGAGAAGAAAACUUAAAAUUAGAUAGCAAACGUAGCUAGACUCAUUGGCUAUUGUAGUAGAUACUGUGGGGUUUUUUUUUAUUAUUUUUUAUUUGGGUUAAUUUUUUUAUAUCACAGGUCGGUGAGUUGGUAAGUAAAAAUGGGAAACGCGGACUUGCUGUUUUGUUCCUUGUAUUGGAGGCUGUAUCAGUUGUGCUGGAUCAUGUAUUUGGAAAUAGCAAGUGGGCUCCUCUCGCUGCAUUUCUCUUGUCCGCAUUUGGUUUUGCUAUAACUAUCUAUGCAUGUUUCUUGGAAAGAAGAAGAAGAAGAAGAAGAAGAAGAAGAAGAAGAAGAGGAAGCAGCAGCAGUAUGGCCGAAGUAAAAAGAUCGCAAUCAGAUCGGCAGCUUGAGAUAGUAGAUAUCGUGUUCUCUGCACUUCAGUUUAUUGCCACAUUGAUCCGUUUUAUUCUGAUGAUAUCAAAUGUGAAGUCCAAUAAUAAUGUAUCUGUUAUUUUACCACUGGCCUUUGCUAUAAUUGCUGUCAUCUUCGUUUUUAGAACGGAAGAAAAUAUUGAGAAUUCUUUGCUUGAAAAAGGGUUAGAGAAAGGACAGCUUCGUUCUCCAAUGUUGUUGGAACUGCUUCCAAAGGAAUUAGGCAGAUGUUUCAAGAGCUUAAGCGGGUGUGUCAAUCUCAUUAGCGAGACUGAUGGUGGCGCUGGUUGGGCUAAUGUUAAGGAGCAAUACGAUGAAAUUACGGCAUCAACUAAUGGGGUCUUGCCUCGUGCUCGCUUUGGCGAAUGCAUAGGUAUGUACACACACACACACACACACAUAUAGCAUGAUGCAACAUUAAAUGCUGUGUAUGAUUUGUUUGUUAGUUUGUUUCUUUGCUGUUAAUAAUUUUAUUUGUGUGUUAAUGUUAUGGCAGGAAUGGACAAGGACUGGAAGGAAUUUUCUGUUAACUUGUUUGAUGCUUUAACUCGAAGACACAACAUUCAUGGGGAUACAAUCACUAAGAAUCAGUUAAGAGAGUUUUGGGAUGAGAUCAAUAAUCGGAGUUUUCGUUCCAGGCUUCAAAUUUUCUUUGACAUGUAAUGAUUAAUUCUUCUUUAAUUUAAAAGGAAAAAUUACACAUUUUUUUUUUUUCCAUUUUUUGGCAUGUUCAUUGCAAGUCAUUCAUCAUUUUUGUUGUUUGUGUGGAGAAAAAAUUAUUGCAGAGUUGGUAAAAAUGGAGAUGACAGAAUCACGGGAGAUGAGCUCAGAGAGGUAUGGCAUGUUGAAUAAUUCCAGAAGAUGCACUAAAUUCAGUACUAAUUAAGUUUGAAUCAUCAAUCAUGUGCUUGUCAGAAUUUUCUUUGAGUUAUUUUAAUCAUCAAUUGUUAUAUAUAUCUACAGAUUAUCUGCCUCAGUGCAUCUGCAGAUUAUUUCUUAAAUACCCAAAAGAAAGCAGAGGAACUUGCUGCUGGGGUUAUGGAAGAAUUGGAUCCUGACAAUCUCGGAUACAUCACGGUAAAUAAAAUUUAAAAAAAAUUAUUUUAAAAAAAUCUGAAGAGUUAAAGCAUGUAUCUUACAAUUAUAUUGUUCAAAAUUUGAUCAGAUAAACGAUCUGAAAGCGCUUCUCGGCUUUGCCUCAUACCCCCCGGUAUAACUACCAUUACUUUGUUACAAGGACCGGCGCAAUCUUGAAGGCGGUGACGGAUACUACCUGGCUUUAUGGUUUGUCUACUUAAGAAUAUAGUUUUUACUUAAGUAUGUCCCUAAAGUAAUAUCCUCUAUAGUUAACUUACCCUUGCAUUGGGAUCUUUAAAAUUCAAUAUUGAAAGAGAAGCAAUUUCAAAUUAAUGGGACACCGCUGAAACAGAAAAUAAUUUGAUCAUCAUUCAAAUGACACGAUCCCCAUGAUGAUCAAGUUUAUAUGGCACGUUCAUACCGGUUAACAGAAAAUAGCUUGAGACUGCAGUCAGUUAUCGCGAUGAUUGAUCUAUCGGCAAUAUUCACAUGAUUUCUAGAAACUAAUGGAGAAAUCUUUAUCCAAUUUCAGUUCUCAAGCGAGGAAUUUGACUGCUUACUGAAAGCUUCAGCAAAACAAACACUACAAUUGUUCCUACACAAGUAUGUUUGAUCUGGCUCCUGUAUAAAAGCACGAGUUGGAUUUUACGGAUUUUACAGCAAGGAAAUAGCAGGCAGCUCACACAGUGAAGAUCAAAAGAAAAUUUGUUUAUAAAAUUCCUCUAAUGGAGAUGGACAAACUUUUCACCUUAUUGUACCAUGUAUGAAAAAAUAAUUGUACCCUCUCCUCCGAACAAAAUUCUACAAUAAAAAACAAGAAUAAAAAAUAAGACAAAACUUAAGCCAAGUUUCCACUGCAAAGUUUGGGACUGUUUCUCACUCUAAGCGAGAAUGAUCUCGCCUAUAAAUUAAACUCAUCUUAGGCCUCUAUCUCAUCUCAUGCUGGGCCAUUAGUUGAUUUUUUUCUCAUUUUUCUUUCUAUUACCACUUCUGGUACAAUUAUAUGAUCAUGUUCAUCGUCGGCCUCCAGCAGCCUUUCUAACAGCAGAAGGUAAUGGGUCCUCAUCAUCAGACUGAAUAUCUCCGUACUGCCACAUCCCAAUCCUAGCAGUCUUAGCUUCUUCCUGGAAUUUUUCAAGAUUCUCAAGGGCAGCCUGUCUGUCUCUGGAUCCCCAUCUCUUCCUCCUCUCUACCCUUGCAAGUCCUUCCUGAAAAAUACAUGAGGCGUAACUUACACAAACAAGCCAGCUUUAUUUAGAUUCAUUUACUCAUUUUCCUAGAGAUCAGUGGCAAGUUUCACAUCCUAGAAUAAUUUUUCAAAUGCACGUGCUCGUGUUCCUCAAAUCAAAAGCCUAUUUUAUCAGAAAUAGCAAGUAAAUCAAGGACUAGUAAUCAAACCUGAACCAUAAGAGUAUUUAUGCUAAUCUCAGCAUCCACAGCAACCAGAGUUACAUGAAGAAGUGUCCCAGUUCCCUGUCCCUUGAGUUUUCCUCCAGAAGAAUCCCUUUCUUCCACUAAGGCCCUAAAUUCAUUUGAACUGUUAUACGUAUGUUCAUUCAAGAACUCAGCUGCUUCAGGACCAUACUCAUCUUCCAAGGCAGGAAUCUUGAUGUAGGCAAGGCUGCAUAGCUGAGCAAGAGGCGGUGUCGACGAUAAUGAUGGAUCAAUAGGCCUCAGCUUAUUGUAUGGAACCAACUCUUGAUUUCCAUAAUCAAUAUAGAAUACUUCAAAUUUGUCGUUUACAGAUUCAACCUUCUCCCGAGGUGCAUUGACAAUCUAAACAUAUCGGAUCAGAGAGUAAGCAAAACAACACAGGAAUCCAAACCAAGUUAAAAUCUUGAAUUUACUGAAGCAAGGAAGAUGACAGAAGGCAAUUGUCCUAAUGCAUGCAAUAACGGAAAACACAUUAGCAUUGCAUUGGUAACAAUGGUUUUUAGUUUUUUUAAAAUUCUUAUAAUACCAACUACAGACAGAACUCAACAACCAGAAUUUGAGUAACAGAGAAAAUAAAUUGCCAAACUUUUGACGGUCUUGAUGUAUCCAUAUCCAGAAUUUAACAUAUCAAGCAACCAUGACCAGAAAUUUGCAGACGCUUAAGCCCCUAAAUAGUAAAUUGCUUUGCUUCUAAGUGAAAAGAAAAAUAUUAGAGCACUUAUUUUGAUUUAAAUAUGCUUCCUAAUAUGAGAGGGAAAAAAAGAAAAAGAAAAAGAAAAAGAAAAAGGCAUUCUUUGCCACAUUAUCUGAUCAUGUUUUUGGUUCACUCUCAUAAGCUUUCAAACUCCCCACUUGUACUUCCCACACCCACACCCACACAUACAUUCACUGAGAUUUGCUUAAGAUGAUUAUAAGCAGAAAGUCCUAAGCUUGUAUAAUCAGCAGGGAGUGCUAUGAUAUCUAAGUUUUCGCUGUAGCAAAUUGUAAGGGAGGUAAGAGUUCACUGACCAUAGCUCGAUUCCAGGAAUUAUCUGCACUAAAUUGAGCAAGAACAAUUUCGCCCUUCUUAGGGUUAAAAGCACCAAUUACAGGAGCUUCUUGGAGAUUCAGAGAAGCAAGUUGUUGCUGAACUGAGGCAACUUUCUGAUCACCAACUUGCUGAACAUAAAAUUUUCCACCUCCCAAAAUUUCUGUAACCACCACCUGAAAAUAGAGGUAAGCAGGAAAUCAUUUACUAUUUAGAACACAAGAAGAGGACAAUACAUGAUGCAAUAGUAUCAAAAUCACCUUUAGCACUUCUUUCUGUUUGCCUUCUACAGCUGCACCAUUGGACACUUCCUCUCCUUCAACAUAAUUCUCCCAUAUCUGCAAUAAUAUUUCAAUUAGCAGAAUCAACAUAAGAAUGAAAGCAAAAAAGACUUACACUUUGAUUCUUACCUUCAGUUUCUGUGAUUUAGCAGAUUUUUCAGCCUGUUCAAGAAGAUGACUGUCUGGGAUCCUGUCACUGCCAAAAGAUGUUUGUAGCUUUGCCAGGCCAGCUUCAAGAAGAAUCACUGCCACGUUGGUCCUUGACUCCCAUAAAGAUCCCAAGAAAGUGCCGGUUCUAUCAACUGUUUCCACUUCAAUCUGUAUAGAAACAAAUAAAUAUAGAUUAAACUAAGUAUGGAGAGCAACCGAGAAUAUUUAAAGAAGUGAAGUACCUCAACAUCUCUCUGCAAAAUCUUUUGUCUCAUUAGUAAAAGCGCUUCAUUUGAAUAGCGCUCGUUACGACCGGGACAUCGGACACCAGAGAAUGAAAAGGCAAUGCUACAUGUUUCCUUGGGAAUCAACACCUUAAAGCGGUGGCCACUGAGGACAUAUUCAACAACUGCAGGAAUUCUCCUACUCCGUUGAAGGAACGGCAAAAAAUCUCUAGCUUUCUUGACGGGUGCCUGUUAAAGACAUUCAAUUGAAUAAAUGAUAAAAAAGUCACUUGGUUUCGCGAUUCAUUGAAUGAGAAAUAUUUUAGUUGAUCCUAACCAUAGUCAGGUCUUGUAUGUGCAUGACUGGGGGUUCCUUCGAAGAGUAACACCCUUUCUUCCCAGCCUUGGCACGUGCUUCAGCCGCAAGAAGGGCAUCAUAAUAAUUUGAUCUUUCCUCAAAAUCUCGAUGGUUAAUCACAUUGCCAAGGCCACGUGAGACUACCAGCUCAGCAACAUUCACUCCAGCAGGCUGGCCAGCAGCAUUAGAUUGGGCCACUGCCGAUGCAUCAUCACCCUCACCCUUAAUGGGAGACAGGAGGAAGAUUGAUCCAAAAUCAAUUAUUCUUGUUUCUGUAGCCCCCACAGACUCUUCCCCAGCUGGCCCUUUAGCUGCAGCUUGCCCUUUGGUCCCAGCAGGCCCUUUAGUCCCAGCAGGCCCUUUAGCCCCAGCUGCCACUGGUGCUACUUCCACAACAACCUUCCUGGAAUAUUCCAUUUGAACAUUCACCUAAAACAAAAUAAAUAAUAAAAGAUUAUUUAUAAUUUCUAUCAUCAUUCAAAUUAUGUUCAAAUGAAUAAUAAUCCUUUCUUUUCCCAAGGAAAAAAAUAAUAUAUUUGAAUCAAAUGUAAGGAGAAAACAAGGACAAAUUGCCCGUUAACCUUAAAGAAAAGUAAAAUAAAGAAACUUCAAAUUCAUUCCAAUGAAUAUUUGUACUUACUUGCCGGCCAAUGAGCCGUGUUCUCAGAAACUCCCUUGCUUCCCUAGCAUAGGCAGCUGGCUUUUCAUCUUUACGAGGAUUACCAAUUUUGGGACACCUAAUACUAGAAAGAUUUACUCGUCUCUCUGCCAAUGCAUUGCCAUAUGGGAUAGAAUCAUCAGCCACAAUAAUGCAGUCACCACUAACAACCUCCACAACCUGAGAAAUGAAUGCAGGUAAAUUUAUAACCUAUAAUAUAAAACACAAAAUACUACUAACAAAGGGAUUGUCUGAAACAUAUAUUACCUUGCCUGUAAAAUUCUGGUCGUGAAUAGCCUUCGAAUUUGAUUGUGGUGGCACAUAGUUUGUCCACAUCCUCAACCGGGUUUUCUUGGCUUGAAGGUCAGCGGCCUUUAGCCGUCGUUUAGCAUCUUCUUCCAUCAUAUUUGCACUCCAUUCAAUAUAUUUUGCUAAGCCCUAAAGGAAAGACAGAGAGUCAUAUCAAAUAAACUAAACCCAUCAUAGAUAGUAGUAUAUUACCAAGCAUAUAAUGCUACUAAGUAACAUUUACAAUAAAGCAAAGCAGCGGCUGAAACGAAUUGUGUGUUUCAGGGUAUUAGAAGAAAUUUUACUUAACUAAGAAAAGGCACCAUUACACAAUUUAAAAGAAUAAACAAAUAUUAUUAAAUCAAGGCACAUCGUAUGUUCACAGCCACAAAGGAGUAGAAACAGGGGAAUUUUGACAUUUCCUGAACUGUCCAAUAAAAAUUAAACAGUAGAAUUCAACAUAUUGGCUAGGCCCUAAGGAAAGACAGAGUCCUAUCAAAUAAGCUAAACCUAUCAGGGAUUGUACCAAGCAUAUAAUAUUAUUACAUAACAAUUACAAUAAAGUACAGGCAGUGGCUGAACGGACUUGCAUGUUUGAGAACCAAUUGAAGAAAUUUUACAUUAACUUAAAAAAAGCACCACUACCAACUUUACAGAAUAAACAAAUAAUAUUAAUUCAAGCCACAUAGCAUGUUCAGAGCCAAAAAGUAUAGAAACAGGAGAACUUAACAUUUCCUCAACUAUCCCAUUUCAACAAAAUAUAAUACAUACCACUGGCAGUAAACAAUGAAAUAGCUGGGCAUAAAUUGACAAAGUAGACAAAUCGCAGACCUUGCCUACUUCUAAAUAUUUUCAUUUUCAAAGUUGUCUAUUUUGUCAACACACAUAUUAGAUUUAUUUUCAAUAUUUUCUACGUGAAUUGGUGCACUUUUAAAGUGUCAACAUUUCCUCACUUUUCAUCAUAGCUCCACAUAAUGGAGCAUCUAUGAGAUGUCAUGAACAAGAAAACACUCUAAAAUACCACCAUGGAAGCUAGCAUCAAACAUCACAAUCCUCAAUUCAGCUACAGUAUAAAGUUUUGCAAAUAUAUACACGCACAACAUCAGAGUAUGAUAAGAUAAGAGUUUAUGCACAUACAUUUUCCACGAGCUCCAUUGCUAGGUCCUUUGCUGUUUCCCCAUCAGGAUAAAACACUGACCCAAUCAAAUUUUUGAAUUUGUCAACACCUUCCAGGACAAUACGGACCUACCAAAGAAUCAAUUAUGAAUUUAGGCCAUCUAAACAAUGUGGAUAUAAAGAAGACAACUUUAUUAGAAAUGCACAUACCUCUCUAUUCAAAACACGCAUUUCCGUAAAAUAUUUGGCAUCUAAUGCAAAUGGUUCGUCAGUGGAUUGUUGUCCAGCUGAGGCUGUUGAGGCUGCAAGUCUCUGAGCAGAAUUCAGAGGAGCUACUGCUUCAGCCGCCGAAACAUCUCCAUUGGUCUCCUCAGUAUCUGUGUCGACAAUAGCUGCAGGCCUCCUAGCCACAGCUGGAGCCUUAAUUGAAACAGGAAAAAUGAGAAAUAUAGACAUCAAGCAGUACUGGUCUCGGAAGGCAUAAAAAAAAAAGUUAAAUAAAAAAUUUACAUGCAAACAAUCAAGGGGCAUCAUGUUUACCUGGAUUCCAGCAACAAAAACUUGGACAAACUGAAAUUCUGGAAGCAGGUAUACACGGAGAGUGCUGCCAUCUCGAACCUGCUCAACAAUACCUUGCAUAGGUCUUCCCUUGUUUGCAUCUAACAGAGCCAUAGCAUUGAAGUUACUAGAAUCACCAAUGGCAGAUGGUGGUAGGUUCCUAAUGGAAGCCUCAGCAGCACCUGGUACCUAUGAUCAAGAAAUGAAGACAGCUCAUCAUUUAUGCAUUAAUUUAGGCAACAAUUUUAUUGCUAAGCCAGUCAUUUUUCACUAAAAGGUAGACUGCUCACAAUGCACAAGCCCAAUCACAUUAGACUCAAACUUGAUGAAAGCCAAAAUGCAACAUCAUUAAUACAAAUGAUGGCCGGAUUGGUACUCUAGAAUCCUUGAUCCUAGUUAAGCUAUAGAAACUUCUUUUAUUUCCAGGGUUCUUAGGAAAAUUCUUUCAUCAUGCGUGCACCUAACUAAGACAUUUUCGUGGUGAUACUAAUCGUUUCAGUAUGUGCAAGAAAAAAAGAGACUAAUAAACUUAGAUCAAACAAGGAUUAGGACUCUGACAAAAGUGAUCAUUUAAACUACUUCUUUAAUGGAAAGUAAAUCCAAUAAGAUAAUUUUAAACAUAUAACAUUAUGUCCUCUACAAGAUAAUUAUACAUGAGAUUUGAUCCAUUCAUUUAAUGUUGUUAAAAAAAAUUAUGAAAAAGUAACUGACGGCAAAAAUACUAUUUAAUUACCAAGAGCGAAAGAAACCAUUUUUAAAAUUUUCCAGAAUCAAUAAUUCUCAAAAACUUCUGCAUUAACAUGCAACUGAAAAUAUUGCACAUCAAAAUACGUUUAAUGUCAUAAUGUGGUUUCUUGUAAAGUUUUUUAAGAAAUUUAGGCUUUGAACAUUUCAUUCUUAAUGCAAUACUCCAGCAUUGCCAAAUAUUUCUUAUUAAAUAGAAUUUAUUUAGCACAUUUUUUUUUAAUUUCAAAUAUCAUCUAUUUCAGCAAAAGCAAAUAUAAAUGAGGUUCUGAGUUCAUACAUCUUUUAGUUUCUUCAAAAUAAAUUCAAUUGCCACUAGAUCUCAACUUUUUAUACCCAAGGAACAUAAGAAAAAAAAUUAGAUUUUACAAUAGAAUGCAUUGCAGGAAGGGUUAAAAAUAACCUUGCUCCAGCGGCCAAGACCUUGUAGCUUUGCUUGCUCUUCGAGACGUAGCAGUUCUGCAAGGAAAGGACUUGCUUCCCCCUUCUGGGAGCCCUGCUCCUUAACCUGCAUAUAUCACGUUCAGCUAAUAAAUACUGAGGACCAAAACACAAGUCCAAACUCUCAAAUCUGGGAAUGGAAGGACAAACCUUUGCCCAGCCUUCUGAGACAACCAGCAUUGCUACAUUUUUGUCACCGAGGAUGACCGUGCCAAAUUCUCGGCCUAUGUUGGGUACAGCAUAAUCUACUCGGAAUGUGACCUCCUGCAUUUGAUACACUCACAAAAAUUGAUCUAGAGAGAAGAAAAACUAAUGAAACUAACUGACAAUGAUAGUAGAAAACAAGAACCUUUCCUAUGCAGAGCUUCCUCAGAAAUUCUCUGCUGUCCCAUGCAAAUGGCUCAUCUAAACCACCUCUGCGGGCCUAAGAAUAAGACAAAUUAUCACAAAAAGGUUCUCUUAGUGUGGAACUGAAAAAUUCACGGAAUAAAAAUAUUGUAAUCCAAAUAUUUCAGAAAGAUGCUACAAAUUUGUAAUACAACCAGAGUUUUUUUUGUUAUUAUUAUUUACUCCCAUUUUUAACUUUUUUAUGUAUAACAUUUGACAGCAAGAAGGAGUAGCAAGGUCAACAGUAAUAGUAGAAAACCCAGAACUGUUUAUAACAAGAUGUUGAGAGGCCGCGAAUACAAAUAAUUAUAUAAUAGAUUCUCACAAACCUAUAAAAUUUCUCCGCUGACAUUUAACUUUAAGAAAAAUUUCAGGUAAUAAAUUAGAGAAUGUAGAAUAGCACUCUAACCACAUACAACAUUGCGGAUAGAGAAUGAUUACCAGCCGAGGUGUAAUAAUAGAUGAUAAAGUGAGAGUUUUUUCCCGUGGAGGUCCAGGAUUCGGGUUGGACAAGGCUGUUAUCACCAAGCUGUCACCGGAUGGAACAGCUUUCACUCUUGCUCUGUACCAUCCUCCCCCGGCUGCCGCUGGCGUUGCCAUCUGAACAGUAAAGAUCUAAACGAAUUAAUCUCUAAUCCAUACGUUUUUUUUUCAUUAACAAUAUUCUGUGUAUCAAAUCAGCAUCAGUUAAAGAAAUAACUGAAAGAGAAUAUAACAAAUAACAAAUUUAAAUAAGAAUGAAAAUUAAUAAGAGAAAACGCACACGAAGAACAAAUUCAUAUCAGAUCCGUAGCGUUGAAAUCAUCGAAAGUCCAAAAACGCAUUCAAUUAUUAUUAAAACGACACGCAAAAACAGAACACAUGAGAUUGAUCCUAUCAGUCACUAAUAAACAGCUCGAUCUAUCAAUCGAUCAAGCAAAUAAACAUUAAAGCAUCGUCGUUUCAAAACAAAAAUAACAGAAGGAAUUUCAAAACGAGCGCGAAUUGCAUGCAAGUCUGUUACACGCACAUUCAUCAUCACAACAUUAAAUCAAAACAAAACAAAAUCUCGAAAAAAUAAUCAAAACAAUCAAAACCUGAUCUGCGUCAAACAAAAGGAACACUAAACCAGAAAAAUGAAAAAUAAAAAAUAAAAGUCACAAUUCGUUACGUUACCUGGAUCAGAUAAAACGGUACGUAUUGGAUCUAAAGAGAGAGAGCAGAAUAAUGAUAAAAUGUAAAUGAAAAAAUGGAGUAUUGAGAAAAUAUAAAACAGAGACGAGAGACGGAUUUAUAGGGGAACGGGACGGCGGAUCAUAGAGAGAGGAGACAAUGCGCUAAACAUGGGCAUAUAAACAAGAGAGCAAUAGUGGCUGAGAUGAAUGUACCCUCCUUGUUUGAGGUAAUUACGGAAAUACCACAGAGAUACAAAUUCUAUUUUGUUUUGGCAGAAUUUCAAAAGUAUAUCUAUCUAUUUCUCUUUUGUCUAUAUCCAAAUUCCAAAAAUGAAAAAAUUGUAAAAUAUAAAAAAAUUAAAAAAAAAAAACUUUUUUUCCCCAAGAAUAAUGGUGAUGAUACGGACGCGAAAACCGGCCUGAUUAAUGACGUCAUUUUGAUAAUUACCAAAAUUUCCUAUUUGUGAAAUCAAUAUGUGCGGGCCAAUUAAUUUGUCUGGGUGCUAAAUGUGAAGCCUAACUAGUAAUUAUUCUCUAAUCUUGGAUAGCGUGCUCUUAACGACCAAUUACCGUCGGUCUAAAUUUUAUUUAAUUUAAAUAAAAUGUAUUAAUAUUUUGCUACAAUAGUUUAAUUUAUUCAAUAUCUUACUUUAUUCUUUUUUUUUAACAUGUAUCUUAUUUUAUUCUUAAAUUAAAUGAAUGUCCAUGCUGAUUGUAAUAUUUACCAAAUGAAUUAUAACCUACGUUAUUUCAUUAGCUUUCGUUUGAAAUGAAUUUCAUUAUUUUAGUAACAUAGCAAUUUGUAAUUAAAAAAAUAGUUUUCUGUUAUAGAGGCGUUAUGGGAUUACAAAAAGAAAUUUCAGAUUAAUCCACUUUCCUAUCUCCUUUUUUUUUUGGGUUAAAAACAAGUUAGCUUUAUUAUCAUUAGAUGAGUUGAUUAGUUCUUUUUUAAAAAAAUAAUUUAGUUUUACAACUAAAGUUAUUUAUUGUUAAAUUAAAUAAAUUUAUUAUUGUUUAAUUCAACUCAAGUCUUAUCUAUUCUUUAAACUAAAUAUCAUUUUUUGAGUGGUAGCUGUACCAAUUAAAAAAUGUACAAUCAGAAGAUUAGAUUUUAGGCCGCGGGUUUGGCACCUAAGGUGGUCCAAUGGCGUGACCCUUAUUUUAAAUUGCAGUUGCUGAUAUCUUCUUUUAUGCAAAUAUUUGACUUUCUAGGCAACAACUUUUCGAAUAGGCCGAUCACAAAGAUCUACGGCAAAAUAACAAACGGGUAUGUCACUUUUACUUUUGUUUCAAAUAUAGAUAUAGUUUGUUCGUUUGUAUCGAAAAGGUCCGUCAUUUCUCAUCCACUGACGCGACGUCACGUCAUCCUAUCAAACUAAUUACAAAUUUGCAAUUUCAGCAGGAGCCAAGUUGAUACAUCCGUCGGUGGAUGCAGAUGAUAUUAUCCAAAAAUUUAUUCAAAACAAACUUUUCAACGAGAUAUUUUCUCUUUCUAAGUGUUGACGAUGAAAGCGUCUGGUGAUGACGCGCUCUUAUCUCGAGUGGACGUAGAUGAUGUAGGUGCGUGGAAGGGAGACUUGAGUGCUGAGAUUAGUGCCUGUCGAAUGUAGAUCAAUCCAAUAAAAAUGGUCAGAGGUGUUAGAUCUCAAGUCUCAACCACCACGACAGUCCAGUACAAAUCAGUUUUUAUUUUACCGUUAUGUUACUAUCUAUGGUGAAAAGAACAAAUCAGAUUUGGUCACUGAAUCAUUUUGCUGCUUACCUCUCUUUACCCGUUUUAUCUUUUAAUAAUUUUAGUUUACUCUCAUGUACCAUAAAAAGUAAAAAUCAAAACAGCCUAAACAGAAUGGAAAUGCCUACCUCCAACUUAGUAAAAAGUUAUACUUUAUCGCUGCUCAUGAUCAUGGAGAUUGAAGACCCGCAGGGGCGGUAAUAUUCAUGUCAAAUUUUACUAAUAAAUUUUGACAUUCAAAAUUCAUAAUCGGCUCAUUGAAUAAAGCGGAGACAGGAUUUGAUUUGUUUAGACAUGAUUAAUAAAUGAAUUUUAUUCAAUUUUUUUACAUGACACGAUUUAUUUAGAUAUGUUAGGUACAAAUAGUAUGAAUAAGGGUCAGUUUGGGAAUACUGUAAUAUUUAAAAUAAUUUAUGUUAACUGUGCUGUAAAAAUAAUCAUAUGUGAAGAAAAUCAGUUAAAUAUUUGGUAAAUUUUAUUUACAUAAGUAUUAUGAGUUUUGAAAAUAAUUAUGGAUGCUUGGCAUAAAAUUUACUGUUAAACUACUGGAGAAAAUAAAUUACUAAAAUGUACAUAAUAUAGGAUAAAAUAUACUCAUACAUAUAAUACAUGUACAUAUAAUAUUUGUAACUGUGUAUUAUAAUAAUUUUUACUAAAAAAAUUAUAAUAUAUUGAUAUUAUUUUUUUAUCUUAAAAUAAUUCAUAAUCAAAUUUAUAAUAUAGUGAAACAAAUUAAUAAUAAUUCAACCAACAAACUGAUAUUAAUAAAUUCAUAUUGAUGAAUUAUAGUAAAAAUUUAUUAAAAUAUUGAUUUUGUUUCCACUUUGAAUAAGGAUAAUUUUGAUUUUAGGUAAUAAUUUUAAGGAUAUUUAUGGAAUUAUAUUAAAUGAUAAAAUUGAUUCUCAAAAUCAGAAUAUAAAAGCUACGAUUUCCCUACUUUUCAAAAUCAACUAUAGGAGGAGCUGAUUUUGACAAAAGUAAUUUUGAUUUUUUUUUACCAAACACUUAAAUUACCUUUUAAAUUUUUAAAAUCACUUUUAAACCUUCCAAAAGUAAUCCCAAACAGGCCCUAAACCUUAAAUAUUGUCCUUUUAAGUUAUAUUUUAAUUUUAAUUUAAUUUAAAAUUGCAGUAAAUUAUGGAAAAAUAUUUGCAAGUUAAGCUUUUUUAUUUUAGGAUUUAAAAAAUAUAAAGGUGAAUAUUUAAUUUUUAUAUGAACUUAAGUGAAUCAUAUCCUACACAGAUUGAUUCGACACAAAAUAAACAAUUUGAAAAAUCAACAAGCUUAAAUCCUUAUUUGAUACAAUUAUUGAAGAAGUGACUCAUAUUCAACUCAUUUUAUUAGUCAUUAAUAAUAAUAAUCAUUAUAAUUUGUCAACUCAAACCAUUCAUUUUGUGUCGAACCUUGUCGAGUAAUCAUAUUGGAAUUCAAAUUGCUCUUCACAACAUUUGUAGUUGGGGAUGACCGAAAAGGCUUUGGCUUGGGCUUUAUCAAAAUGCCCGGCCUUGACCCAAAGCCCAACAUAAGAUUACACACGCGCGCGCACACACACACACAUAUAUAUAUAUUUAUAUAAACACACACAUGCAGAUUGUUGAAUUCAUUUCAACAAUCUAAUUACAUGCUUGCAAAGCCCUUUAAUUCUAUCAUUUUGCUUUUUACAAUGAUCAAAAGCUAAAUUUAACUAAAUUUAAAUAGUUAAAAGAUAUAAAACAUAAACUGAAAACAGAAGAGUGGGGCUAUUUGCAUGUUUAAAAGUAUUGAACACUCUAGUUUUAAUAAAAUAAUUUAUUAUAUAAAUAUCCCUUAUAUGAAUUAAUACUAAGGGUAAUCUAUUACGAGUUAAGUAUAAUAUUAUUAUUUUGAAUACCCAUAAAACACAACAGUUAUUCAACAUAUAAACUUUUUUCUCAUAAAUACUAAAUCUUUUAUUUCUAAUAUCUUAAACAAUAAUUAAUAUUUUAAAAGAUUUUAUCUAUGUGUUUUAAAAAUAAAAAAACUGUUAAGCUAGCCGUUCUUUUGCUUUUGAUUUUCAAAAGAAAUUAAAAAUUGAAAGUAUCUUAAACACCAAACUUCUUCUUCUUUCUCGAUCGCACAAAGUUGCUUGGCGGGGUGGGGGGCAAUUAUAAACGAUAAUUGAUUACUAAAAUUGUAUUAAAGAUUUUUUUUUAAACUUAGAUUGAUUUCAUUGUUGUAUAUACAUGCUAAAUUUCUUUAAAAAAAUUUAUUUGGGUGUGCUAAAUAGUUUGAUUGGUAUUUUAAGUAAAUAAAGAUAAUUAAUUUAAUUGUUUUAGUAAGAUUUUUUUAAUAUUUUAAAGAGUAAAAGUUUCUUCUCUGAAACUUAGGGCUUUACCUUAGCCCCAACCAAUUGAAACUAUUACUAUCCUUAAGUGGACCGGACUACAGAUAGUAAUUGGAGUUUAUUUUAAUUUAAAAUUUUGACUUUAGACUGCCAAAGACAAUCUGAAUUCAAUGCAAUUUACUGUUAUAUCAUCAUGUAUUGACGAAUACGAGAAAUUUUUAGGAAUAUAUAUAUAUAUAUAUAUAUAUAUAUAUAGACACACACUCACAUGCAUUCUCCUGUUACAUUCUUGAUGUAUACCUUUCACCAACCCAAUAAAAAUAAUACAUGCUCCCGAUAUGAAAAAAAUUCAAACAAAUGAGAAAGUAAACAUCAAGACCACUAAAAACUUUCCAUAUGAUACAAAAUAAAUAGACCAUUCAAAAUGAUGCCAAAUUAAAGGGAUACACAGUCAAGAAGACAGCCUGAAAGAGAGAAUUAUCUUGACUGAAAAAGGUUUUAACAUAUCUCAAUGAAUGAAUGAAUGAUAUUUACCAUCUUUAAUAGAGGAAAAUCAAUGAUCAUUAAAUGUUUUGAAACCAGACCAGAUAAUUGCAUUUCAUUGUUUCCAUCUCAGUAAUUAUCAUUUCCAAUAAUGAGUGGUCUCUUUUCCUAAUUCGAUUUAGACCACAAUUUCAUUGACAAAAUCAGUAUUACACAUGUUUGCUUCUCUGUGCAACCCAGAUAACCAGAUAACAACUCGUUACCUUUUCCCAAAAUGACACCAUGGAAUUGAUUGCGGAAUCUUCUGCUGCCCACUUUUAGAUAAUAUGGUAUAUGGAUAACAGAGGAUUGAAGUACUCUUUUUAGGUCUAAUCUUGAACCAUCCACAAUUUGUGCAUUUGCAGAAUCAAUAAUUGACUUUCCACCUUUCUGCCAAAAGUGCUUUUCCUUUUGCCCAAAAGCCCUCAUGAAUUAAUUUUCAAGUGCUCUAAGCUUUAUCCAAUUCAUUAUCCAUGACCCCAGACUCACUUCAGAGGCUUUUCUGCUAAUCGCUAAAGACAUCAUAAUUCUACUUUGGCAUUCCUGUUUUCAUUUUUUGGUCCCAUACACAACAUUUUUUUCCUCCUUUCUAUGAGCGACAAGCACAUAGCUUUUAUGAAGAACAUAACACUUGAUUAAGUCCUCACAGUAAUUGGGCAUGAAAAACAUUGACUUUUAAGAAACAUAAAUUUCAAUCCCACUGGCACUAUUAUCACUAGUUUCUGUUACUUGAAACAACUAAUCAUGCCUUCCACAUAAUCACGUUUCAUACAUAAAUGUAGAUACUAUCUUUAGCACAUAAUACUUUUACACUAUUCAUACCGUAUGAAAAAAAAAUAAUAAUCAGAUGCACUUCCCAAUAAUGGUGCUGAAGGAUGCAUACACAUUGGAACUCUAGAUAGGAAACCUUCAAAGAUGUAAUAUUCUAGGAGGGAUGGUAACUGUAGGUGGAUCUGGGAUGAUGUCAUUCGGCCCCAGGUUAUCGAUAGGUGGGCGUUGCUUGUGGUGAUCUGUGACUGACUGAUAUGCUAUUGCUAACGCCAAAGCCUGCAUGUGGGAAAAGGGUAAAAAGAAAAAAAUCAAUUUACUCCUCAUACAGAAUGCCUCAGGAUCGCUGAAGCAACUUCAGAGAUUCUUUUAUAUGACACACUAGAUAGCAAAAAAAAAAAAAAAAAAAAAGAUUUGGGAAUAAAAAGCUCACAAUUGAGAGAAUAAGAAGAUAGUAAAUACAAAGGUUGAGGUUGGUAUGGAGCUUACAAUGUGAUCAUGUUUAGGAGGAGCAUAAAUGCCAGUAGUAAUGGUGGUUCUUCUUCGAGAUCCACUUGGAGGUGGAUUAGAUAUAUUUUUGAAACCGGCUGGAACAACAAUUACUGGCAAACCAACCAGAUUUCCCAAGCAAACCUUCUCCCAAUCAGUCACAUUUCCAAUGAAGGCAUCAACAAUGAAACUUUCUUUCACUUCCCUAAUUAAUUUCCCUCGUGCUCUCUGUGCCUGUGAGAAGUGAUAAAAAAAUUCUUAAUAUUUAAUACAUUUCAGAAAGUAAGAUCGUAUAUGUUUCUUCUCAGUUCUCUAAUUAAUCACUUUUUCUGAAGGAAUCAUCAAAUUGGCCAUUCCUGAUUGAGAAACCUUACUUCAGCGUCUAAAUUGCCACUCAUGCUCUUCAAUACAAUUGAUGAUGAAUCACAUAUUGACUACAAAUCAUUAUAACUUCUAUGAAGCAGUUCUGCGGUUGAGAAUAUAAUGAUUCACAGGUCUGUUAGGUAGCAAUGUGAACCAGGAACUAAUACAUGGACUUAACCCAAAAGGUCAUGAACUAGAUAUUUGCAAGAAAUAUAGUGGCUUGAAUCAUGAGAAAUGGUCUAAGUGGGUAGUUUAUUUUUUCAUUAAUCAUGGAAAUCAUCUAGUUUUUCCCUUUUUUUUUUUUGCCAUUUCAUUUUCUAGAAUAUUUGAUGCAGACUGUGUAGACAAACUAACCUGUAUAUAAUCUACUGCAGUAAUUAUGCGGGAAUGGCGUAAUUCGACAGGCCAUUGAUCCUGAGCUUCAUAAACAUCAUCCUUCCCAGAGCGUUGCCACUCAUCAAAAUGAGCCAACAUGUCGACAUCCAUUGUGAAGUUUAGGAUUCCUUGAACAGAGUCAACUGUGUAAUUUAGCUUAAAAGGAACCAUUUUAAUGCCCUUUUCUGCCAGAACUUGAACAACCUAGCAUUUUCAUCCGAAAAAUGUUGAAGUUUUAGGGAAAACUAAAUCUAAAUUAGUCUAGCAGGUGAACAAACUCAAUUGAAUCCAACAAAAUUUACAAUGCCAAUGACCUGAACAUAUUUGGCACCAGAUGGGAGAUUAUUAAUUUACAGUCAGUUAGUUAAACAAUUUUCUAGCUUCGAGUACUAACGUGUCUUGAGGGCAAGACCUGAUAAUAUGGUGAACAAGUAAGCACCAUACCACCAUGACCAUAUGAGAGUUGGUAGUUAGUUAACACUUAAUAUAAAAUAAAGAAAUAGCCCCUCUAACCUCCAUCUCAGCAUCCUCAAGAUAGCCAACUGUAAGUUUUGUAAUGUCAACUGAGAAUGGAUCAGCAAAUGGAAAGUCUCUUGAUGAGAGAUCAUCUGGAUCCUUUCCUCGAAUAGCAUCCAAAACAAUUGUGCAAUCAGCAGCACUUCUACAGAAUGGUCCGAGCUUAUCCUGUCAAACACAGGGGUUUAGAUUGAAACCACAUUGGACCAACCAAAAGAAAAGGGUGGGAGAAAAAGGGAAAAUGACCAAAAGAAAAGAUUUUGGGAUAUACAAGGCUUUCUGAUAUACUCAUCACACCAGUUCGACCAACAGUUCCAAAAGUUGGGCGCAACGCUGUCACACCACAUCGAGCUCCGGGGUAGGUAAUGGAACCAGCUGUUUCUGAACCGAUUGCAAAUGGCACCAUACCUGUUUAAAGAAUAUACUUUCUUAUUUCUAGUAGUUCAAGACUUGGCAGCAACUAAAUAUGGUCUAGGUUUGCUAAAUCAAAGAUGACAAGCAAAGAAACAGACAGAAGGAAAAGCAAAUAUUUAACAAUAUGAAAACAGAAGAAUACCUGCGGAGGUGCAGGCAGCAGGACCAGCCGAUGAACCUGUUGAGAAUUCCUCAAUAUUCCAUGGAUUUCUUGUCCUACCACCAAACCAGAUAUCAUCAUAUGCCAGAGAUCCAGAAACAAGCUUUGCAACAAGAACUGCCCCCGCAGAUUUCAACCUGUAACAAAGGGAGUCAAAAAAUCAGGUAGCUAAAUAGAAUGUAUCCUCUUCCUACGUUGAGUAAUACAGUUUCAGAUAUGCCCAAUACCUCUUGUAAACCCAGGCUUCGGUGUUGAGAACUUGAUUUUUGAAAGUUGUCGAACCCCAAGUAGUCUUGUAUUGAGGUACUGCAAUUAUAUCCUUCAACCCAUAAGGUAUCCCAUGGAGAGGUCCUAUAAACAAUUCAUUAUGAAAUCAAAUAUUAAUUCAAAAAUGAGUAAAUAUGCAAAAGAGAACUGCAUCCAGAUUUUAGUAAACAUUUCAGAAAAUCAGAAUCUGACUGUAAAGCUCCCCCAACAAUGAAAUGAACCUUUGCACAUCGUAUUAAAGACAAACUACUCCAUCCUUUUCAUUUAGCACUCGAUCAAAACUUAAUGCCAAUCCAUCUGUAAGAUCUAAUUAACAGGUUCUCAAUCCUUAAUAGUUGGGAACUGUAAAACUUACCUUGAUAAACUAUUCAGAUAAGGCAAUUUCUAAAAGUCAAUGAGUUUCAAAAGGUUAACAUCUUAACAAUUGGUUGCUUUUGUUGGAUUAAGGUGAUGGUUCCGAAAAAUAAUAUUUGUGAGGACCGUACCUCCACUCUGAAAUCUCUCACUGCUUGUAUCAAAUUGAUGGUAAACUAACAAGAAUGAGAAUAUUCCUAUUAAUUUUGGAUUAUUAUGAUAAUUAGAUAUGAGACAUACCCAAAUAUUUUCCUUGAGCAAGCAAUUCAUCAGCUUCUUUUGCUUGUUGAUAAGCUAAUUCAUCAGUAUAAGUAACCACAGCUUCCAGAGCAGGAUUGUACCUGAUUUUGUUCCCACACACACCAAGAGUAUUAGAAAAGCAAACUUAAAUAUCAGAUAGCUCAAGAUGUUGAUUAGCGCAUUUUCCAUUCUGUUACCUCUUUAAUCUCUUCAGAAAUAUUCUAGCAAGCUCCUCAGAUGUAACUUGUUUUGUCCUAAUAAGUGCCCCCAAUUCAAGAAUCUGUUGAAAGACUCCACAAGUUGAUACGCACAAGAACGGAAACAAUGAAAUAAAUCAUAGACUGAAACUCUGUCAGUCACUAUUAGACCCUAAACUGACUUACACUCAUGAAGGCAAUGUCUUCUUCAUUCUCUGGCUUUGGAAUGCUAGAGAUUGAAGGAUAAUUAAAUAUUUUGCUUGCUUCUUGUUCCUGUUCAGUACCCCAAUCCGGAUUAAAAGUCAAAACAGAUGGGUUAUGCAAACCUCCAUUUUCGGAAGCAACUAGUUUCCUAUUGGCUCUGAUUAUAGGUAAAUUGAACUCUGUUGCACCUUUUGCAAUCUCCAACACCUAAACCAAAAAAUGUUUAAUCAACUAUUGUUAUUAUGGAAAAAAAAGAGAAUCAAAAGUAGGCCAAGUGAAAUCUAAUUGUACAAUGUAUUUAAGAAAUCACCUUUCUUUCAUUGAAGAAGUUGGAAUCAAGCAAUUCAAAAGUACAUUUAAGCUGCGAAGCGUGCAUUGCUUUUUCUGAACAUUCACUACUAUUUUUACUGUCCUGAUCAAAGAACGUGACAAAGUAAGUAUGAAACAUGGAAUUCAAGGACAAAAAAUCAAAUGAAUUCCCCCUGCUGCACAUUAGCUUUUGAUAAGUGUUACCUGGACUUCAUAUUACUGGAAUGAAUCAAAACUUUUUGAGACAACAUUUCCCAGAAUUUUCUAAAAGCUCUCACCUGCCGUGCAAGUAUUAGAGUACAAAAUUUGAUUUUCUUCAAACAAGUUUUAGUUGCAAGCAAAAGGGAAGCCACGCUUAAUAUGUUUCUAUUACUAACUACGUGUUACAAAAUUUUACUCCUAAUGCUAAAUGUUUCUAAGUUCUCAUGGCGAUUGCGAAAAUUCAACCAAUGUCAUACUAUAAUUACAAAAUGGGCUAAAGGGUAUGGGCAAAAGUUAUGCACAAAUGACAAAAAUGUACAUAAAGAGAGAGAGACGCACCAUUUUAUUGCAGGGGCUACUAGUAUCACUUAGAGAGUGAAACUGGGACAAAGCAGCAUAAGAACCCACAGUAGCAGCCAGUAAAGAGAAAAUUACACAGACAAAGAAACGUGUCCUUGCAAAAUGAAGCGCAGGGCACGUGUCCCUUGACAUGUUAGCCACGUUUUUGUUUUUUCUCGAUGAUGAAGCUCCCUGUUUAUUGCCACAGAGACGGAGCUGUAUUCUGUAAGCGGUACUGUAAAAUGGGUUUCUAACAUCAACCAUUUUUUCGUUGACGAUGCUCGUGCUUAUUAGGCAACAUAGCAUCAAGCGUCACUCUCACGGCACUCCAAUUUCAGAGUCAACCGGUGCAUUGAUAGAUCCGGACGGCAAGCAAUACAGUUAGAGUCAAGAUUCGUUUAUUCAAAACGAAAAUGUUUUUUUCUUCCAACUUUUUGGUCUCUGUGUCUACGCCAUCGAUAAUGUAAUAAAUAUAAACUUUUAAAUUUUGAUCGAUGUCAAAUAUUUGUAAAUAAACUUUUUAAAAAUAUUAUACUAGUAGUAAUUUUUUUUAAAAAUUAUUUAUAAAUUAAUAAAAGAAAGAAAAAGAAUUAUAAUGAACCACACAACCUCCUUUUUUUUUAAUUUAAUUUGAAUUCAUCGACUUACUUUAAAGAUUACCAAUUACUUAUUAAUUAACUAAUUAUUUAUGCACUUAAUUAAACCAAUAAUAAAAAUUAAAAUAUUUAAAUCUAAAGGUUCAGAACAAUCUCAUUAUCAACACACACCAUAAAAAAUCAUACCGCAUUAUAAAAAAUUCUUUUUUUUUUCUGGCACUCCCCAAAUUUUAAGUUGCUUUUAGAUUUGUUUAGGAAACAUAUAAAAUCAAUAUUAACUUCAAUUUUAAUUUUUGUAUCUGGACAAGAAUUUUUUAUAAAUUACACUUAUAUUAAAAAUAAACACUGAAAAUUCAUACUAUUUUUUUUUUGUUUUAAUACUGAUUACAAUUGGACUUGCUUUAGUGUUCUAAUUGUAAUCACUAUUAAAAAAAUAAAAAUUUUCGGAAAAGAAAUUAAUUUUUUUGGGAAAAAUUUAAUCAAGCUUGUAAGUUGUAACUUUGAAUGAUUGGUUUUAUGCUGGGCCCUCCGCAGUAUAAUAUUGGUUGGGCCUGCAGUUUUCCAACCAAGGGCCAUCUUUGACGGGCAAACCUGUCACCAUAUUUCUCUUCUUACUAAAAUAAUAAUUCUUGCAGAGGAAUCACGUUAUAUACGUCUCUAUAACUCUAUUCAGAAGCAUUAGAAUCCAGAGGCCUUGAUAAAAAUAAAAUAAUAGCGUAGGCUUUAUGCUGCAAAUAUUUAUAUUAUACUCUCUCUUGCAGCCUUUGCAUUGAAAAAGAUUGAAAGCUUCUUUGAUUUUUGAACUUCAAGAGGUACUUUCUUAACUCUUCUUCUUCGUAUGAGUAUUAUUUAUUAUUAGCUUAAUUUAUCUGUAGUUCUUUUUUUUAUUCAAUGCCUUUUCAGUUCACUUCCCCCCCCCCCCCCCCCCUCCUUCUUUCUGGGUUUUGCUUCAUCUAGCAUUGUGAUUGAACCUUGAAUUAAACAAAGGGUUUCUCUAUAACUUGUUCAAGUUUUUGUUGAGUUGUGAGUUGGGUGUUUCUUUCAUUGAUCCAUUUAGUUACUUGAUAGGGUUCAGGGUUUAGUUCUUCUAAUUUUUUCUUCUUUUUUCCUGUGGUCUGAUGCUUAUGUUUUAGUUUAUUAACUAAAAUGCUGGAUUUAAUUAUUGGGAAUAUAUCAAUUUAUUAUUAAAAAAUGCCCUGAAAUAUGUCAUCAAUUCGUCUGCACAUUCGAACUUUAUUUCUACGCUACGCUUUGCAUAUACGCUACGCUUAUCCUUGACAGUUGGUAAAAUAAGAAAAAGUGGAUCCUGUUCUCGUUUGACCAUGUUGAUCUCUUUAAUGCCUUUUAUAUCUACAGGGUAUUAUACUAAAUUAAAAUGUAUGAAGUUUGUAAAAGAUUAUCUGAAAUAAAUUGCCGACUUCAUAAGAUUUCAUUACUUUUAAAUUUUCAUUUUAGAUUUUGAAGAGAUUUCCUCAUAUAGUUUGGUUCUUAAUCUUGCCUCUUUUUGUCUGCAAAGUAGAAAGUGUAUUUGGAAAGCUUCAUUUUAUUCUUUUAUGGUCUUUUUUUGGUUUCAAUAUUAUUAUCCAAAAGGUGAACAUGGAAUAUUGGAAAAGCUGUUGUUUCCCAUAGCUAUUUUUUUUCCCAGCAGCGUAUUUUAAACUUAAUAAAUGUGGAGUUUUUUUAUCUAUUUUUAUUAUUGGCAUAAGUUUCACUUAUACAAAUCUUUUGUUAUCAACAAUUUGUAUCUUUUAACAGUCUAUUAGCAUUGUAGAUUCUAAUGACCAUCAACUGUGCC
rnacentral:lncRNA from 1 species